CGUGCCGAAUACAAAUAAUUUUCAUAUUUCAAGACACUAUACGUAUAUUGUUUUUAUACUGAAAUUGAUAAAAAAUAAAAAAAAUAAUAAAAAUAUGAAACAAAUAUUGUUAAAAAAGUGUUAGAAAUUUCCCUCUUGGGGUACCAUUUUGGGGUAUUUCCCUUUGAGCGUAGUCCAGGCGGUACAAAAUUGACAUUUUAAGGAAAAAGACAGGGAAAAUGAACUCUAAUUAAUAACAUUUGAUAAAUCAUGGUAUAUAAAUUACCAAUUUGAA
rnacentral:lncRNA from 1 species